AUUGAACGCUGGCGGCGUGCCUUACACAUGCAAGUCGAACGGUAACAGGUCUUCGGACGCUGACGAGUGGCGAACGGGUGAGUAAUACAUCGGAACGUGCCCAGUCGUGGGGGAUAACUACUCGAAAGAGUAGCUAAUACCGCAUACGAUCUGAGGAUGAAAGCGGGGGACCUUCGGGCCUCGCGCGAUUGGAGCGGCCGAUGGCAGAUUAGGGAGUGGGUGGGAUAAAAGCUUAACAAGCCGACGAUCUGUAGCUGGUCGGAGCGGACGACCAGCCACACUGGGACUGAGACACGGCCCAGACUCCUACGGGGGGCAGCAGUGGGGAAUUUUGGACAAUGGGCGAAAGCCUGAUCCAGCAAUGCCGCGUGCAGGAUGAAGGCCUUCGGGUUGUAAACUGCUUUUGUACGGAACGAAAAAGCUCCUUCUAAUACAGGGGGCCCAUGACGGUACCGUAAGAAUAAGCACCGGCUAACUACGUGCCAGCCGCCGCAGUAA
rnacentral:rRNA from 1 species